rnacentral:rRNA from 1 species
AAUUUUGGACAAUGGGCGCAAGCCUGAUCCAGCCAUGCCGCGUGUCUGAAGAAGGCCUUCGGGUUAUAAAGGACUUUUGUCCGGGAGCAAAUGCCUGGUGUUAAUAGCAUCGGGAGCUGAGAGUACCGGAAGAAUAAGCACCGGCUAACUACGUGCCAGCAGCCGCGGUAAUACGUAGGGGGCUAGCGUUGUCCGGAAUCAUUGGGCGUAAAGAGCGUGUAGGCGGCCCGGUAAGUCCGCUGUAAAAGUCAAAGGCUCAACCUUUGAAUGUCAGUGGAUACUGCCGGGCUAGAGUCCGGAAGAGGCGAGUGGAACUCCUGGUGUAGCGGUGGAAUGCGCAGAUAUCAGGAAGAACACCAACGGCGAAGGCAGCUCGCUGGGACGGUACUGACGCUGAGACGCGAAAGCGUGGGGAGCGAA